rnacentral:rRNA from 1 species
UACGUAGGGUGCAAGCGUUAUCCGGAAUUAUUGGGCGUAAAGAGCUCGUAGGCGGUUUGUCGCGUCUGCUGUGAAAACUGGAGGCUCAACCUCCAGCCUGCAGUGGGUACGGGCAGACUAGAGUGCGGUAGGGGAGAUUGGAAUUCCUGGUGUAGCGGUGGAAUGCGCAGAUAUCAGGAGGAACACCGGUGGCGAAGGCGGGUCUCUGGGCAUUAACUGACGCUGAGGAGCGAAAGCAUGGGGAGCGAACAGG